rnacentral:misc_RNA from 1 species
GUAGCAAACACGUUCAACAAGGACAUCUCUGAUGCUGUUACUCUCACUUGAGAGAUGGCGGUAAUUGGUUGAAUAUCUCCUGCAUCAUGUCAGUUAAGUGUGCGGCAUAUUAUCAGUUUGUGAUAUCCAAGCCCUUUAGUAAUAUUCCGUGCCAUUGCAGUUCCCAGUUCUAUCCGAUGAGUUUCGUCCACAAGUUCAUGGGAGACGAUCAAUCUCUCCUACAUGCUUGAAUUUUUUUUUUAUGAGCUU